ACAUGCAAGUCGAGGGGCAUCAGGAAGAAAGCUUGCUUUCUUUGCUGGCGACCGGCGCACGGGUGAGUAACACGUAUCCAACCUGCCCUUUACUCGGGGAUAGCCUUUCGAAAGAAAGAUUAAUACCGGAUGGUAUAGUUUUCCCGCAUGGGAUGAUUAUUAAAGAAUUUCGGUUGUCGAUGGGGAUGCGUCCCAUUAGCUUGUUGGCGGGGUAACGGCCCACCAAGGCAACGAUGGAUAGGGGUUCUGAGAGGAAGGUCCCCACAUUGGAACUGAGACACGGUCCAAACUCC
rnacentral:rRNA from 1 species